GCCGCCGGAGCUCCGGGCUGAGUUUCUGCCACUUGAGACCCUGCCGCCAUCGUGUUCCACCGCCGUUACCGUCACUGGUGUUUUUGCUCGCGAUUGUCACUUGGGGUUACUGACGGAGCCACUGCCGGGUUGAUAAGGAGCUGCGGCUGCUUCAUUUUGUUAUUUCAGAUUUGGGCGCAGAAGUUAUGAAGAGUUUAAUUAUUUGUUAUUGAGAUGCUCUGUAUUGCUUUAGAUUAUUAUUUUUGUACCCUCGCCUUUAUCUUGAUAUAUUCUGUGAGAGGGAUAGGAAUUGUACUGGAUAA